CAUUUCUAAAAAACUGUUUAAAAUGUUAAAUGAGGCCAGAUGUGGUGACUCACACUUGUAAUCCCAGCACUUUGGGAGGCCAGGGUUGGCAGAUCACCUGAGGCCAGGAGUUCGAGACCACCCUGGCCAACAUGGCAAAACUCCAUUUCUACAAAAAAUACAAAAAAAAUUAGCCAGGCAUGGUGGUGUGCGCCUGUAGUCCCAGCAACUUGGGAGGCUGAGGCAGGAGAAUUCCUUGAAUCUGGGAGGCGGAGGGUGCAGUGAGCCGAGAUAGUGCCAGCUGAGGCAGGAGAAUUCCCUGGAGGUAGAGGUUACGGUGAGCCAAGAUGGCGCCACCACACUCCAGCCUGAGUGACAAAGCGAGACUCUGUCUCAAAAAAUAAAAAAUAAAGAAAAUUUUAAAUGAAGUGCCAGGGACUUUAUGCGCAUGUCAUGUGGAGCUAGAGGGUCCCGGGGAAGCUGUCUUGCACAAAGGAGCCAUAAACCUCUAAGGGCACCUGCCGGCUGAUGUCUCCUGGCUCUCGCCUCCUCCCUCUUUUCUCGACCUGCUCCUGACCCUGUGAUGUUGUUGGGGCAGUUGAACUGGGUUAUUUGCGUUGCUCACUGCCAUGUCAUCCUUUGUUUUGUAGAUGCCGUGGAAAGCAGAUACUCUAGAACGGAAGGCUCCCUUGAUGGAACUUAGACAGCAAGGCCAGAUGCACAUCCCUGGAAGGACAUCCAUGUUCCGAGAAGAACAGAUAAUCCCUGUAUUUCAAGACCUCUGUGCACUUAUUUAUGAACCUGCCCUGCUCCCACAGAACACAGCAAUUCCUCAGGCUAAGCUGCCGGUUCUUAAAUCCAUCCUGCUAAGUUAAUGUUGGGUAGAAAGAGAUACAGAGGGGCUGUUGAAUUUCCCACAUACCCUCCUUCCACCAAGUUGGAACAUCCUUGGAAAUUGGAAGAGCACAAGAGGAGAUCCAGGGCAAGGCCAUUGGGAUAUUCUGAAACUUGAAUAUUUUGUUUUGUGCAGAGAUAAAGACCUUUUCCAUGCACCCUCAUACACAGAAACCAAUUUUCUUUUUUAUACUCAAUCAUUUCUAGCGCAUGGCCUGGUUAGAGGCUGGUUUUUUCUCUUUUCCUUUGGUCCUUCAAAGGCUUGUAGUUUUGGCUAGUCCUUGUUCUUUGGAAAUACACAGUGCUGACCAGACAGCCUCCCCCUGUCCCCUCUAUGACCUCGCCCUCCACAAAUGGGAAAACCAGACUACUUGGGAGCACCGCCUGUGAAAUACCAACCUGAAGACACCGUUCAUUCAGGCAACGCACAAAACAGAAAAUGAAGGUGGAACAAGCACAGAUGUUCUUCAACUGUUUUUGUCUACACUCUUUCUCUUUUCCUCUACCAUGCUGAAGGCUGAAAGACAGGAAGAUGGUGCCAUCAGCAAAUAUUAUUCUUAAUUGAAAACUUGAAAUGUGUAUGUUUCUUACUAAUUUUUAAAAAUGUAUUCCUUGCCAGGGCAGGCAAGGUGGCUCACGCCUGUAAUCCCAGCACUUCAGGAGGCUGAGGUGGGCGGAUCACCUGAGGUCAGGAGUUUGAGACCAGCCUGAUGAAACCCUGUCUCUACUAAAAAUACAAGAAUUAGCCGGGCGUGGUGGCGCAUGCCUGUAGUAUCAGCUACUCAAGAGGCUGAGGUGAGAUUAUCGCUUGAACCCAGGAAACGGAGGUUGUAGUGAGCGGAGAUCGCGCCACUGCACUCCAGCCUGAGUGACAGAGUGAGAAUCCAUCUCAAAAAAAACAAAAAACAAAAUUGCUUGCUAAAGAAGUGGUCUCCUGAGGUCUUAAGACAUUCCUGACAGUGUCUUGAGUGGGUGGGAGAGAGGCUGCUGUCAUUGCGCUGUGGAAUUUCACAGAUGAGAACCACGCCUAGCCAAAAUCACUUUUCCUGUUUGCCUCAGUGACACAGCUGCAGGGACCCUCGUGGAUGUUGUAUUAAAUAAAUUUGACCUUUGCUCUUUGCAGAUCUGUGAAAUGUUGUCUUCUGAGGGGCCACAUGCAUCUAUAGUGCUGAGGACUCCUUGGGCCUCUGAAGUCACAGAGAGAACCGAGCAGGUCUAUGUUUUUGUUUUGUUGUUUUGAGACGGAGAUUCGCUCUUGUUGCCCGGGCUGGACUGCAGCGGCGCAACCUCUGCUCACUGCAACCUCCGCCUCCUGGGUUCAAGCAGUUCUCCUGUCUCAGCCUCCCGAGUAGCUGGGAUUACAGGCACAUGUCACCACGCCUGGCUAAUUUUUGUAUUUUUAGUAGAGAUGGGGUUUCACCACGUUGGCCAGGCUGAUCUCGAAUGCCUGACCUUUGGUGAUCUGCCCGCCUUGUCCUCAUGUGUGCUCCACAGGCCUUUGGGUUGGGAUUGCAGGCGUGAGCCACCAUGCCCAGCCUAGACUCUUUUGACAAUAUGAUGAAAGCUGUUGGUUCCUUUCCCCAACACACACACACCGAGUUGUAUCACGAAAAUGUCAUACAAUUUCCAGGUUUUCUGAGUGGUGGGCUCAGAUUGAGGUCAAAGGAUCAGACGACCUCUAACGACCUUCAUGUCUCUGUUGAUGAUCUGGGGACAGCCAGAUCCCCUGUGUCCAGGGAGUUCCUUAGUCCCUUGCCACCACCAGAGAAGGGCAAUUGCCACGGGAGCUGCAAAGACCCUAUUCCUACUCCUGGUGCCUUACUUAUGCAGCACGACUGAAUUUUUUGUUUUGUUUUGUUUUGUUGAGACAGGGGCUUGCUCUGUUGCCCAGGCUGGAGUGCAGUGGCACAACAAUGGCUCACCGCAGCCUCGAACCCCUGGGCUCAAGCGAUCCUCCCAUCUCAGCUUCCUGGGUAGCUGGGACCAGAGGCGUGAGCCGCCAUAGCUGGCUAAUUUUUAAUUUUUUUUUUGCAGAGAUGAGGUUUCACCAUGGUGCCCAGGCUGGUCUCGAACUUCUGGGCUCAAGUGAUCCUCCCUCCUUGGCCUCGCAAAGUGCUGGGAUUGCAGGCAUGAGCCACCGCCCCCGGCCUGUGGAGCACACAUGAGUUUAAAAUUACUUUCCCUUCUGCCUAUAUUUCCGAGGAGGAAACUUCAUGCGCAGGGAUCUUUCUUAGUGGAUUUAAUGGCUAAAAGGUCUGUCUGAAUCCAGGACGCUGGCUUUAGCCUUCCUCGGCAGCUGCCGUAACCCCGGUGUCUAAACCUGAAGCAUCCCAGGAGCACCCACUCCAGGAGUUUUCUCGGCCGCGGAACUCAUUAGUUAGAGCGCCCUCUUGUGUUCUCAUGUGGUAAUCGGUCACUGAAGGACUUAAAAUGGUCCUUAGCCAACACACAGUAAAACUUUUCCCUCUUCUGACCCCAAGAGGUCAGCCACCCAUUUCAUGAGCAUAUACUGGUCGCCCCAUCAGCGUUCUCUGAUUGGCUAACUGAACCCACUCCCCGACCUAGACUCAAGACAGGCGAAGUGACGCUUAGGUCAACAUUCACUCACUAAAGCAACGACUGUCGGGCGAUUUUGUCUCCCGCUGGUUUUGGAAUGGUGUCUGGAGACAUUUUUGGUUGUCACAGCUGGGUGGGUGUGCUCCCGGCAUCUGGUGGGUAGAAACCAAGCAUGCUCCUAAACAUCCUACAGGCACAGAACCGUCUCCCACGACCAAGCAUGAUCAAGUCCCAAAUGCCAAUAAUGGCCAGGUUGAGAAACUCUGCACAGAAGCAUCCAGUUAUUUGUCUGUUUGCUCAACAAGCUUGUGCUCAUCAUGCUCUGUGUUCCUGACGCUGUGCUGGGUGUUGGCGGUGGGAAGAUUACAAGAGUCACAUGGCAGCUGUCCUCCUGGAAGGUACAACCCAGUAGAGAUGCAGACUAACAGAGAGCCAAUUACAAAGCAGUGUGACAAGCGUCAUGGUGGAAAAUUAAAAGCUCAAACAAGGGCACAUGGGAGGGGCUUCCAACACAGACUUUGGGGGAUCCAGGAAGGUCUAAGAGGAAAGUGGGGUGAAGAACAUUGAGGACAAAAGGAAGAAGUGCAGGAAGGCCCUGAGGCAAGGGAGUGGGGGGUGCCCUGGAGGGAUGGCAGCAGGGCAGUCUGUCAGACCCAAGUGGCCUCCAGCCCUAGAAGCCAAUUAGUCCUCCUCAAAAAGCUGUCACUGUCCCCUAAGAAUUGCUGCCAGGCUCCCACUGGCCUGACUCAGUCUUUGAGAGUCUUAAGGAGGAGGUCUCUGAAAGGUACACACCAAGAACUCUCCCCAGCACAGCUGUUUUUAAGACUCUCCACCAGCGUCAUUGGCGUGUUGGGAAGAAACCCUCUGCCACAGAGGCCAGCUUCAGCCUUUGCCUAACACCGCAAGGGCAAAUGGAAAGGUAAACGGGAAGGAGAUGUCUCCCCAGCAGGCUAUUUGAGGACAGUCUUCCCUGCAGAAGAUCUCAACCUGGGGUCCACAGAGUGGAAAUGUUAGAGUAGGGAGCUAGGCAAACAUGAGCAGGACAGGUGAGGGCCCCCACAGGAAUGUCAGGCUACCAUCAGGUGAUGGUCAGGUGGUUGUUAAACUGUCUCUGUAAAAUAAUAAUUGGUUGCAGCCAGCUCCAAGCAAGGACAGUCUCUCAAUAGAUACAAAACACCCUGAUCUGGUGAUCAGCCGCUUCCCGAUAAGAUCUCAGGAGCUGGGCAAGCAGCCUGGAGCAUGCGCACCAAGAGGCAAAAUGGCGGAAUUUAACCAGUAUAUGACCUACCUUCCUCUGGGAACGCACGACUGGUAAGGGGAAAAAUGCCUCAAGUGAGCAUGCGCGCAACUUCAGUAAUCACACUGUGCAUGCGACCCCUUCCAAGUGCUGGCAGGUCACCACAUACGCGGACAGCCUGCUGCAAGGGAAGAAUCAGGGGAGAUGAGACGUAAAUCCCAGAACUAUGCCAAAUACAUAAAACCCCAAGUUAAGGGUCAGGCAGGGCACUUAGAUCUCUCAAGUUGCCUGCCUGACCCAAGUGUAGUGUACUUCCUUUUGUUCCUGCUCUAAAACUUUUUAAUAAACUCUCACUCCUGCUCUAAAACUUGCCUUGGUCUCUCCCUGUGCCUUAAAACCACUUAAAACCACCUCUGCCCCUCAGCUGAGUUCUGUCUUUGAGAAGGCAAGCAUCAAGUUUGCUGCAGACCCAUUGGAUUCACCACUGGUAACAGAAGUUGGGGUAAGGCGUGGGGCCUGAGAAUUCUCUAAGAGUAGGUGCAGCCGGGCGCGGUGGCUCACGCCUGUAACCCCAGCACUUUGAGAGGCUGAGGUGGGUGGAUCAGCUGAGGUCAGGAGUUCGAGACCAGCCUCAAUAUGGGGAAACCCCAUCUCUACUAAAAAUACAAAAUCAGCCGGGCGUAGUGGUGCA
rnacentral:lncRNA from 1 species